rnacentral:lncRNA from 1 species
ACAUGAAACAUCCAUUUGACAGGAUCUAGGAUCAAGUAGAGGACUGACUUCUGGGAAAAAAAGAUGUAACUGGAGAGAAUGGCAUGAUGGGGAUUAAAUCAGCCUCAGAGAAAUGUACAUCUUUUCUUUCAUUUGUGCCUAGACUUUAUGGAUAUGUAAAAUCAUAUAUGUAUAGACGGUAUGCAAGUAGAACUGAGACUGCUUAGAGAACAAAGGGGACUCCUGAGGGAAGGAGGGAGAGGGGUGGCAACGUGAUGGGGGGGUGAUGUGACAGGAUGGGGGUGAUAGUGGUGAUGUGAUGGGAGAUGGAAAGCAAGGGACAUCACAGGACUGAACAGAAAUGCCCCUAUGUGACCCUGAUGAUUUUUAAGAC